rnacentral:siRNA from 1 species
UUAUGUGUGCUGUUUCUUAUC